rnacentral:lncRNA from 1 species
UCAGAUAGCGUUAAGGAUAAUAUAGGAAUAAAAACUUUAUCACUUAUAUUGUUUCAUGAUAUUACAUUUCCUCAUAGAAAUAAAUAAAUAUGAGUCUUCAUACAAAUAUAUUAGAGUUAUGUUAUUUGUUACUAUAAAGUUGAUAUAAAGUUGAUCAUCCCUCCCAAGCACAUCAGAAAGAAGUUUAAUCAUGUCACCGACAACAAUUCUCCCCGUCGCCACCAUUCUUUUCCAUUCCCCACCAAUCUUAAAUAUGGAAAAUAACCAUAUAUGAGAAUACAAUUCCAUAUGUUCUCACAGUCAUCAAUAAUCUUAAUUAUAGUAUUUUUUUUCUCAAAAGUCUUCUAAAUAAACUCUUCAUACGGUAGCAUCUACGGAAUUAAUAACACAAAAUUUGUGUCAGUAAAUACAUAUAUGUAACACAGUUGUAUCAUAAAAUACUCUACUUGUAAUAAAACUUACGAAAAACUCUAUUGUAACGUCAUAAGGAGUUAAUUUUUUCUCAAAACUGAUGUCAUCAAAACCAAUUUCACGAGUAUAUAUACGACAUGAUCAAUAUCUUCUGGGAGGCCAGAUACAAAGACAGACCCAACACAUUAUUUGGUAAGUUCAAUAAGUUAGCUUAUAGCUUGUUGAGAUUAUCCCAUAACAAAACAACUAAACAAUUACCUAGGAGAAAAUAUAAAAACAAUUGGGGGUUUGCAUAACAAUUUGGUGUGACACUUUCGAAAGUAAAAGUGAGAUUAAAUCAAUAAAGGUAAAAACGAUUAGAUCUCUUUGAAUCUUCUAAUUAAAGUUGCUUGGAAGUACGGUCUAUUUUAAUUAAUUAUUCGAUUAGUAUAACGAUGAAUUAACAAAAUGGUCAUGACCAAUCUCUUGGCUCAUAACCCUCUUCCUCGGUUAUGAUCCCCUCGUCUCUUAGACGAAUUCAUAAUCGAUGAAGGUUUGAUUGAGCGUUAAUUCCUAAAAUCACAACCAACAAUUCAAUAUCUCUAAAGUAAUUAAGGGUUGAAUAAUCAUGCUAAAUCAAAUAUCAAACCCUAGUGUCAUUGGUGAAUUUCUAUCUAAAAUCAUUUAAUGUGUGAUAAACAUGAAAAACAUUAAGAACAAGCAUGAUUAAAUGAUACUAACUUCGUAAUUAAUCAAAACAGUACUCAAACACUACACUCAAAUAUUGCAUGGAGUCGAGCAACAUUAAUUAAAUUUAUCUAAAAGACAUAAUCUAUGAGUUUAGCAACACAUAAUAUUCAAAGAAAUAAACAUAUAAAAGAAGAAGAAACUAAAACCUCGGAAUGAGACAAUCUUCCAUGGUCUCGUGGCCAAAAAAAGACAUUUGGUCAACCAACCAAAACUUGACAACUCAUAUUAGGUGAGAGAAAAUGGCCAAUGAAAAGCAAAGAGAAAGAACGCAUACAGUUCCAUUUUCUCUGUGUUUGUUUUUAUUCACAGCUUCCAUCUUCUUCAACCUCUUUUUUUGUUUUUUUGUUUUUUAAUGGAAUUCUUCAACCAAUUGAAUAUGAAGCAUUAGCAAUGUAAGAAAAUAGAAAGUAACACAUUGUACUGUACUUCAAAACUAUAUAAUAAUUUGUUUAACACCAAUAUAAUAAGUGAUAAACCAAUUCUAUUUGAUGGAAAAAACAUGACAAACAGUUCAAUUUGAGUAUGGAAACCAUUAGUCCACUCAAAGGUGAAAAACUUUUUAUCACUUCUUGCAAAAGUUUCUAAGAAUUUCUAAGAACCAAGCUCUAUUUAAUCAUGAAGGAAAAACAACGUUUUGUCUUUAUGAUUUGCAAGAAAAAAUUGUCACAGCUAGAAAUAUCUUCAGAUCAGAAAAAGAUAGUGCAGACAGUGAUUUUGGAAAGUGUUGUUGUGUUUCCGUCGGGACGGUGGAUCUAGGUUGCAGUUGAUCUGGAUUUGACGAGAACCAUCUUUGUCUCUUUCAAGUAAAUAAAGAUUUUUUUUAAAAAAAAAAAAUAUAUAGACUUGAACAUGUUAUUCUAUGUGUACCUUUUUAAUUGGUUGGGACCAAAAAUGAUGUGUUGGUCCAAUGACCACACAAGAAUAUCUCCCAAAGAAUAGUGCCAGCGUCAGUUUUUAGCUUUGAUCCAUUCCUUAAUUUGUUUGUUCCAUGAAGCAGAGCUAUGGUUCCGUUCCCUUCUUCCUCCGCAGCUUCUGUUUUCGUCUCAAUU